rnacentral:lncRNA from 1 species
AUAAAGUCAAGUACAAAUUAUGUCCUAGAAUUAAUAAUGUGUCAGCCAAAUUGGCUUCUAGGGCAUACAUCUAACACUGUCAUGGGAUUAUAGUGACCAUAGCAGCACAUCCGUCUGAGAGUAUGUUUUAUAAAGUAUGGAUAAAUGGCAAUAUUUCUAUAUGACUUGCAUUAUCAUGGUUAUGAACUUUCAUGGAUGGAUCAUGCAUUGCUUUAU